rnacentral:rRNA from 1 species
UACGAAGGGGGCUAGCGUUGCUCGGAAUCACUGGGCGUAAAGCGCACGUAGGCGGCUUUCUAAGUCAGGGGUGAAAUCCUGGAGCUCAACUCCAGAACUGCCUUUGAUACUGGAGAGCUUGAGUCCGGAAGAGGUGAGUGGAACUCCGAGUGUAGAGGUGAAAUUCGUAGAUAUUCGGAAGAACACCAGUGGCGAAGGCGGCUCACUGGUCCGGUACUGACGCUGACGGUGCGAAAGCGUGGGGAGCAAACAGG